rnacentral:rRNA from 1 species
UACGUAGGGGGCAAGCGUUAUCCGGAUUUACUGGGUGUAAAGGGAGCGUAGGCGGCGAUGCAAGUCAGAAGUGAAAGCCCGGGGCUCAACUCCGGGACUGCUUUUGAAACUGUGUUGCUAGAUUGCAGGAGAGGUAAGUGGAGUUCCUAGUGUAGCGGUGAAAUGCGUAGAUAUUAGGAGGAACACCAGUGGCGAAGGCGGCUUACUGGACUGUAAAUGACGCUGAGGCUCGAAAGCGUGGGGAGCAAACAGG